ACAGAGUGAAGCAGCCCCGCGAGGGUGAGCAAACCACAGAAACGGCGUCCCAGUUCGGAUUGCAGCCUGCAACUCGGCUGCAUGAAGCUGGAAUCGCUAGUAAUCGCGGACCAGAAUGCCGCGGUGAAUACGUUCCCGGGUCUUGUACACACCGCCCGUCACACCAUGGGAGUCGGGAAUGCCCGAAGUCAGUGACCCAACCGGAAAGGGGGGAGCUGCCGAAGGCAGGCCUGGUAACUGGGGUGAAGUCGUAACAAGGUACC
rnacentral:rRNA from 1 species